rnacentral:lncRNA from 1 species
CUCUGGUGCUGGGAGUGAGGAGUUUCAAGGUGACUGCUUUUUAGCUCCAGGGGAGAAAGGAGGGCACAGUGCCCAAGGCCAUGCCAGGGCAAGGACGGGCCACUGGCCCCCGCCGGCCGGUAGAGUCAACCAGAGGCAAAGCCAGAUUGAGGGUUCCCAGGCUGACAAAUGUCUGCUGCCUCUGCCACAGGAGAGAGAAGGGGAAAGAGGGCAAAAGAAACAAAGACAUCACGCGUUGCAAGUGGCUGGACUUUUAAAAACCUACCUUUGCCUCCAGGGUUUUCUAGGUUACUGUCACCCCACUUCCUAAAAAGUGUCUCCCCCCUCAUCCUAUUUAAGACCUGAUGCAGUCUCCCCACUGGUUCUCCCAGGGAAAGAAAAGGGGAAAUGUUUUGUUGAAAAUAAAAGGGAUGACAAGAAAGAAAGGAAAAAAAGCUAUUGUUUUCAUCCCUAAUUUAUAAUCCAA